AUGGCGCGCGGCCUCCACCAUCUCCUGCUCCUUGCAGCGCUCCUCCAGCUGCUUUCCACCACCUCCGCGGCGACCGCCGGCGACGUCGCGACUGGCAGUGGCAGCGAGAAGGUGCACGUGGCAAUCUACUACGAAUCCCUGUGCCCCUACUCGGUCCGCUUCGUGGCGAACCACCUCUUGAAGGCCUACAGGGACGGCCUGCUCGACGCCGCGGACCUCACCCUCGUCCCCUACGGCAACGCCAAGGUCAACGCGCACGGCGCCAUCACAUGUCAGCAUGGCCCCGAGGAAUGCCUUCUCAACACCGUGGAGGCUUGCGCCAUCGACGCCUGGCCGGACGUGAAAGUGCACCUCGGCUUCAUUUACUGCGUGUCGGACCUAGUGAUGAAGAACAAGCACCGGGAGUGGGAGUCGUGCUUCCAGAAACAGGGGCUUGACCCGAGGCCAGUCACGGAGUGCUACAAGGGCGAGCGUGGCCACAAUCUUUCGCUCGAGUAUGGGAAACAGACAGCUGCGCUCGUGCCUCCUCACCAGUUCGUUCCAUGGGUGGUGGUCGACGGCAAGCCGCUCUAUAACGAUUACGGGAACUUCAAAGCUUACGUCUGCAAGGCGUACAAGGGCUAUCCCCUCCUCGAGGCGUGUCGAAGCCUGGGCCUGGAGGCAGACAACAAUGUAUACGGCCCACUUUGA
rnacentral:rRNA from 1 species